AGAGCGAACGCUGGCGGCAGGCCUAACACAUGCAAGUCGAGCGCCCCGCAAGGGGAGCGGCAGACGGGAGAGUAACACGUGGGAACGUACCCUUCAGUACGGAACAACCAAGGGAAACUUUGGCUAAUACCGUAUACGUCCGUAAGGAGAAAGAUUUAUCGCUGAAGGAUCGGCCCGCGUCUGAUUAGCUAGUUGGUGAGGUAACGGCUCACCAAGGCGACGAUCAGUAGCUGGUCUGAGAGGAUGAUCAGCCUCACUGGGACUGAGACACGGCCCAGACUCCUACGGGAGGCAGCAGUGGGAAUAUUGGACAAUGGGCGCAAGCCUGAUCCAGCCAUGCCGCGUGGGUGAUGAAGGCCCUAGGGUUGUAAAGCCCUUUCGGCGGGGAAGAUAAUGACGGUACCCGCAGAAGAAGCCCGGCUAACUUCGUGCCAGCAGCCGC
rnacentral:rRNA from 1 species